CAGAAAUCGCUGGCACAAAUCGGCGUUUUGCCGGCGAAUUCUGACAUAACCUGAUUCGAAACUGCCGGCAGAAAUCGCGCGAAAUCUCGACAGAUUCGGCUUGAUUUCUGUCGUCAAGUUAUGUAGCGAGUACAUUAAGUAAACUUAUUUAGCUCUAAAUGAAAAGAUGUCGAAAAAGAACGAGAUCUGUGGAUACAUGUCACUCUUGUACAGCCUUAGGACAGUAUGAGCAUAACUAUCUGUCAUGCUCUGAAUGUAACGCUCCCUGUUCUCAUGUUAGUCGUAAAAAACUUGAAUCUGUGAUUCAAACUGGAAGUACAAGUACACAGAUGCUUUAUAAAAACUUUAUGAUAGAUGUACACAAGUAACAACACUAAUAAUGUACAAACAGAAAAAAAAGCUAAAUAGACGAAUUUAGAGUAUCUGCUGUCAGUUCUCCAUCUGCUUUUAAACUUAAUCUAUUUGAAAACAUUAAGCUUGAUAAAAUAAACAAUGUGUCCAACGAUUUAAACGAUGCAAAUGUUAUCUCUAAUUAUAAACACAUAAAAGAGAGUGAAAAAAGUAUCGCCAAUCAUUUAAGAUCUCUGGUUAAUAUCGAAGAAAGCGCUGAAGAUACAAAUACAAAUAUGUUUAAACACAUUUCACUUUUAACUGAGAAAGAAAAGUGAACAAAAAAUCACAUAUUUGAUGAUGAAUAUAAGACUAUAUUUAAUUUUACAGCCACAGAUUACUAGAAACUUUUCGAAAAAUUACAGGAUUUGCGAUAUCGCAGAUUAGAACCAUCAAUGUAUGCACAUAUGACAUAAAAAUAUCUGUUAUAGUCAAGAAGUUUUAUAAAAAAGCAGAGAAAUAUUGCGAUAAAUGUAUUCGCAAUAAACUACUUAUUUUAAUCACUUUUUAGCAGAUUAUUUGAAAAUAUAAUUAUGGGAAAAUGCAUAUAAACAAGAAAGUAUAUGUACUUUUUAUCCAUGUAUAGUGAUAAAUAAAUACAGUCAUCUUAACAUG